ACGCUCGCAAAGUGACUGUGGCUGCUGUUGGCUGUUGCAUCAGCCGUUUAUUCAGCAACCGGCAGUUGGAACAAAAACGUUCGCGCCCUGGCAACCAUAGGAGGUCAAGACACAAAACGUGUAACUUGGAACAUCCUCGCCAAAAUGUUCAGUGAUGAGGGGGGGAGAAGAAUUAACUGGAAAGGACUGAAUGGGAAAAAACCUUUCAGCAAGAUGAUGACAAAGACCUUGCUGCUCCCUAAGUAGUCGUUUUUUUUUUUGUUUGUUUGUUUGUUUGUAUUUUCAAGUCAAGCCUGUGAAUAAAGAGAUUAUUGGCUUU